rnacentral:rRNA from 1 species
GAUGAACGCUGGCGGCGUGCCUAAUACAUGCAAGUAGAACGCUGAAGGAAGGAGCUUGCUCUUUCCGGAUGAGUUGCGAACGGGUGAGUAACGCGUAGGUAACCUGCCUGGUAGCGGGGGAUAACUAUUGGAAACGAUAGCUAAUACCGCAUAACAGUAGAUGUUGCAUGAUAUCUACUUAAAAGGUGCAAUUGCACCACUACCAGAUGGACCUGCGUUGUAUUAGCUAGUUGGUGAGGUAACGGCUCACCAAGGCGACGAUACAUAGCCGACCUGAGAGGGUGAUCGGCCACACUGGGACUGGGACACGGCCCAGAGUCCUACGGGAGGCAGCAGUAGGGAAUCGUCGGCAAGGGACGGAAGUCUGACCGAGCAACGCCGCGUGAGUGAAGAAGGAUUUCGGAUCGUAAAGCUCUGUUGUAAGAGAAGAACGAGUGUGAGAGUGGAAAGUUCACACUGUGACGGUAUCUGACCAGAAAGGGACGGCUAACUACGUG